rnacentral:tRNA from 1 species
AGGUUCUUAGUAUAAUGGCUAUUAUGCUGGGCUCCAAACCCAGUGAUGAGGGUUCGAUUCCUUCAGGGCCUGCCA